CCUACGGGAGGCAGCAGUGGGGGAUAUUGCACAAUGGGGGAAACCCUGAUGCAGCGACGCCGCGUGGGUGAAGAAGCGCCUCGGCGCGUAAAGCCCUUUCAGCAGGGAAGAAAAUGACGGUACCUGAAGAAGAAGCCCCGGCUAACUACGUGCCAGCAGCCGCGGGAAAACGUAGGGGGCAAGCGUUAUCCGGAUUUACUGGGUGUAAAGGGGGCGCAGACGGCGAUGCAAGCCAGGAGGGAAAGCCCGGGGCCCAACCCCGGGACUGCUCUUGGAACUGCGUGGCUAGAGUGCAGGAGGGGCAGGCGGAAUUCCUGGUGUAGCGGUGAAAUGCGUAGAUAUCAGGAGGAACACCGGUGGCGAAGGCGGCCUGCUGGACUGCAACUGACGUUGAGGCCCGAAAGCGUGGGGAGCAAACAGGAUUAGAUACCCCUGUAGUC
rnacentral:rRNA from 1 species